GCCGGCGAGCGUUUUUUUUUUAAUCGUUUCGGAGUGUGACCUUCCGAAGGAGGCUAGUUGGGAGUAAUCUCUUUUCUCCUUUUAACCAGCCGGUUGCCUGUAACUGGUCUGGUUCUUUUUGAUGGAUUGUUGUAUUUUUCUUUGCCCUCUUUAAUGAAACAGCAGAGCGCCUGCUAGGUUCUCAAAAAAAAGUAUUUGAUGGUUUCUUUUUUUUAGUCCCCUUCCUAUUCUAUGAUCUCUCCUUUGGAGUUGAUCCAUCCAUGUAAAUACGUACUGGU
rnacentral:lncRNA from 1 species